rnacentral:lncRNA from 1 species
UUAUCACUUGUUCUAUGGUAAUGUGUCUUAAUGCAAUCACUUUAUUUCUCCUCUCCUGACUCCUAUGUUUUUGUAUUAGUUAGACAGUUUUGAUUGUUGUGGUUGCUGGCUUUUGGAGUGGCUGGAUGCUAAAGAUGAGGACUUCACCUAUAUGGAGGAAAUCUGGUAUCAGUGCUCGAGUUUUUUUCUGUGUUUUCUGUCAGUAGUUGUAUUUACCUGUUAGACAUUGAUACCCCGUCUCUAAUCCACAAAAGAAACAGAAUUUCUUAGUUUUGUCUUUACGGUGGCUAAGCAAAGUGCUGGCUGUUCACUCACGUUUUGGUAGUCUAAAUGGGGUACUGCUUGUACUUUGAUGGAGAUGCAUUUGGUGUUUGGUCGACUCGGUGUUUAUACUAAGGUAAAUAUAUAAUAUGCGUUAUUUACAUAAACGUCAAAUAAUUUGCUCAAAUAAGACACUUGGACUUCAUUUGAAGUUUGUGCGUAACAAGAUUCUAAUCUUACGGAUUUCCAACAUCAAGUCAAUUAUUUAGGUUGAAUUUUAAUCAGUUCGUGCGGUUGUUUUCAUAAUUUUGCUUUAUAUAAGGAGUUUGAAUGGAUCAAAAUGAUUAAGAUCUAUUAUAUAGUUGUAAUAUUGUAGAGAUGUAUGUUCAAGAGUUUUUACAAAAUUGGAAUGAGGUUCGUCUCUACAUCCAUUUCCAUCAGUUUGCAACCGCCCAUCAUUACCAUGACCAAUCACUUUAAGUCAGUUAAAGCCGUCAUUUAUAAUUAUCAUCAUUGAUGACAGUAUCAUAACGACAGUCGGUUCGUCAUCACUUUAUAAAGUCAGUUGUUUAAGUUAUCUUCAUUUAAACUAUUUAAAUAUGGCUUCUAAGCUAUAAUACAGAGUGUUUUGUGCGUUGAACUGUCAAUGCGAUAUCAUAAGCACUACAUAACUGGUUUACAAAUUUAUAUAGGAAAGGUUUUACGCAAGUUUUGUUGAUACGCGAGUGAGCAACACAACAUUUCAAAAGAGUAAGUUGUAUGAGUUAUGGACACUUGUCGAUUGUCAUAAUUGGUCGCAGUGAGAAUCUUGUUCUUUUUGGUGUGUGGCGUCCAGGUCCAAAUUGGCUUUUGAAUUUUUGGAUCGUGACACAAACAUUCAUAGUAAUCUUAUCAAGUCCAGAAAACUCGCUUCUAAAACAUCAAACUCUCUUGUGAUGUAUCUAGCCAGACUUCUAUUACCUUUUUAGGCAAGAGCUCAUAUAUUCUCCAAAGUAUUCCUUGUGGACGGGUAACUUGUGCAACAAUGUCCGAAACAUAAUUAUACAUGCCGAACCGAACACAUGCUUCUUGACCUUAUUGAACUUUUCAUAGAAAAAUUUUAUCUUUUUCAAUAAGCAAUAUUAAACUCACUUUCAGAUGAAGCUAAACUGUAAUCUGAUGAUAAUACUGCUAACGCAAAGUUUAAUCUGAUGAUUAAUACUGUUAACGCAACCAACAGAAAAAAGAAAGAAAUUGGUGAGAGAUUUAUAAGUGUUUGAAUGAGAUGGUUACUUGACCGUACUUUUCAAAAGGAUGAACAUCUAUUUGUUUUAUUAUAUAGUAAUAAUUAAGUUGUCCAUAAAUAUUUAAAGACACAAUUUUAACAUAACCAGGGCCCACUUUUCUCAAAAGAAGUUGGACCUUUGUCUACCACUGGAUGCUAAAGAUGAGGACUUCACCUAUAUGGAGGAAAUCUGGUAUCAGUGCUCGAGUUUUUUUCUGUGUUUUCUGUCAGUAGUUGUAUUUACCUGUUAGACAUUGAUACCCCGUCUCUAAUCCACAAAAGAAACAGAAUUUCUUAGUUUUGUCUUUACGGUGGCUAAGCAAAGUGCUGGCUGUUCACUCACGUUUUGGUAGUCUAAAUGGGGUACUGCUUGUACUUUGAUGGAGAUGCAUUUGGUGUUUGGUCGACUCGGUGUUUAUACUAAGGUAAAUAUAUAAUAUGCGUUAUUUACAUAAACGUCAAAUAAUUUGCUCAAAUAAGACACUUGGACUUCAUUUGAAGUUUGUGCGUAACAAGAUUCUAAUCUUACGGAUUUCCAACAUCAAGUCAAUUAUUUAGGUUGAAUUUUAAUCAGUUCGUGCGGUUGUUUUCAUAAUUUUGCUUUAUAUAAGGAGUUUGAAUGGAUCAAAAUGAUUAAGAUCUAUUAUAUAGUUGUAAUAUUGUAGAGAUGUAUGUUCAAGAGUUUUUACAAAAUUGGAAUGAGGUUCGUCUCUACAUCCAUUUCCAUCAGUUUGCAACCGCCCAUCAUUACCAUGACCAAUCACUUUAAGUCAGUUAAAGCCGUCAUUUAUAAUUAUCAUCAUUGAUGACAGUAUCAUAACGACAGUCGGUUCGUCAUCACUUUAUAAAGUCAGUUGUUUAAGUUAUCUUCAUUUAAACUAUUUAAAUAUGGCUUCUAAGCUAUAAUACAGAGUGUUUUGUGCGUUGAACUGUCAAUGCGAUAUCAUAAGCACUACAUAACUGGUUUACAAAUUUAUAUAGGAAAGGUUUUACGCAAGUUUUGUUGAUACGCGAGUGAGCAACACAACAUUUCAAAAGAGUAAGUUGUAUGAGUUAUGGACACUUGUCGAUUGUCAUAAUUGGUCGCAGUGAGAAUCUUGUUCUUUUUGGUGUGUGGCGUCCAGGUCCAAAUUGGCUUUUGAAUUUUUGGAUCGUGACACAAACAUUCAUAGUAAUCUUAUCAAGUCCAGAAAACUCGC